rnacentral:lncRNA from 1 species
CUCAAUUAACCCAGGUACAUGCAUCCCCGCAGCCCAGAUUUCGCCAGCAAGCUCCUUGAGCAGCAACCCAACUAACCCGCGUGUGAAUUCAGUGAGUGCAGGCUUCUCCAUUGAGAUCCCUUUGCACAUGAAGCACCGCCCACCAAAGUUGGAGCUGCCAUCGACAUGGUGCCCGCCGAUGAGUGCAUCCACCUCCAUCAGCUGCGGAAUCUCCUGGGAGUACACCCGCAUGCUCCUGCCCCUCUUGUUCUCCAUAGGACGCUGGCGGCGACACCGCGAGCCUCUACCCCCGCUGAAGUGGAUUCAAACCUGACAGUGGAGGCCCACUGUGAGGAUUCUAAUUUUAUUUGACCGUUUUUCUAAAAUGUAUUCUUCCAGAAUACGCCUUCCCCGGUGGCCCAUAUAAUUUCACUAGAGUGCUUUGCUUCUUUCCAGUCAGCCCCCUGGGAUAUUUUUGUUUCGUUA